rnacentral:rRNA from 1 species
UGCGUAGGUGGUUUGUUAAGUCUGAUGUGAAAGCCCUGGGCUCAACCUGGGAAUGGCACUGGAUACUGGCAAGCUAGAGUGUGGCAGAGGGUAGUGGAAUUCCUGGUGUAGCAGUGAAAUGCGUAGAGAUCAGGAGGAACAUCCGUGGCGAAGGCGACUGCCUGGGCCAACACUGACACUGAGGCACGAAAGCGUGGGGAGCAAACA